AUUCUAUGAUCAUAAUUAUUGAGUUGGGCGGCUCGACGGCUCACCGGCCGGCCUUGUGUGAUGAUUUUGUUUUUGGCAUGACUUGCAUAUCAUAAUAUUGUCAUGUGAUAAAGCUCGCAAUUUUUUUCGUAAACAUUGGCCUAAGGGGAGUAGUUUACUUUUUUUAGCGUUGUUAAUUUUUGAAAUAAAACAAAAAUGUCUAGUCUUACGUGUUUUACGGGUCGCGAUAAAUGUUAUUAUUUUAAUUGCGACAACCUUAGGCGGAAAUGCAGUUUGAAAAUGUUAAGGUUUCCCAUUAAAAGACCAAAUAUUUGUCAAGAUUGGGUUUUUAACUGUGGUCUUUGCCAGUGGAGACAGUAUGAUGUCAAUAUCCUACCUAUGCCUUUCGUAUCGCUCCUUCAACAGUGAGCAUUAUUAUUAAAGAGACAUGUGAUGCUAUUUGGGACUGUUUGAAUCGAAAAGUUUUACUGACCACAAAAAUAGAUUCCUGGUUGCAGAUUGCUGAAGAUUUUAAAGCCAAAUGCAGUUAUUACACUGUGUUGGAGCUAUUGAUGGGAAACAUGUCAUAAUCCAGAUUGAGUCGUGGCCGAAGGGUAGUUGAGAAUGUGUUUGGAAUUUUGGCUCAAAGAUGGAGAAUAUACAGAAAAACAAUAAUAGCAGGUGUUACCAACUGUUGAAGCCAUAAUUAACCACUGUAUGCCUACAUAAUUAUGUAAUAAAUGCAGAAGCUAACAGCAGGAGUCCCAGAAGAUAUUUUACUCUUAAUAGUAUUGACAAAGAAACCAAUCAGGGAGAAAUAAUUGAUGCAGACUGGAGAAAUGAUGAUUCCAUAGAUGGGUUUAUUCCCAUAGGAAGAACAAGCUCAAACAGAUAUGGUAGACCUGCAGAAAUUAUGAGAGAUUCAUUAUGUAAAUGUUUCGUAGGUGAAGGAGCAGUAGAU